rnacentral:rRNA from 1 species
GGCGUACGGGUGCGGAACACGUGUGCACUUGCCUUUAUCUGGGGGAUAGCCUUUCGAAAGGAACGAUUAAUACCCCAUAAUAUGUUGAAUGGCACCAUUCGACAUUGAAAACUCCGGUGGAUAGAGAUGGGCACGCGCAAGAUUAGAUAGUUGGUGAGGUAACGCCUCACCAAGUCUACGAUCUUUAAGGGGCCUGAGAGGGUGAUACCCCCAACUGGUACUCGAGACACGGACCAGAAUCCUACGGGAGGCAGCAGUGAGGAAUAUUGGACAAUGGGUGAGAGCCUGAUCCAGNCAAUACCGAGUNAAGGACGUGAUUGGCCUAUGGGUAGUAAAAUUCUAAAUACGUAUAAGGGGAUAAACCUAAACCUCGUGAGAGGUAGCUGAAGGUAACUAUACGAAUAAAGNGAACAUGGGUAAAUCCGUUGAGCAAGNAAGACAGAGGUAAAUACGGAGGGUUUGCAAAUGCAGGUAUAUUCACAGGGAAUUUUACAUUGGGGGUUUAAAAAGGGGUCACAUGUAAGAGCAGGGAAUACAUAGAUGAAGGUACAAAGANGGGGUAGAAAAAUUCUUCAAAAAAGGAUUAAACAUUAGUGAAAA